rnacentral:pre_miRNA from 1 species
UCUGUAUUUUACACACUCUCUCACCGGUCAGAGAGGCGAGAGAGUGUGCAAAAUGAAGAGA